rnacentral:rRNA from 1 species
CCUACGGGAGGCAGCAGUGAGGAAUAUUGGUCAAUGGACGAGAGUCUGAACCAGCCAAGUAGCGUGAAGGAUGACUGCCCUAUGGGUUGUAAACUUCUUUUAUAUGGGAAUAAAAUGUUCCACGUGUGGGAUUUUGUAUGUACCAUAUGAAUAAGGAUCGCCUAACUCCGUGCCAGCAGCCGCGGUAAUACGGAGGAUCCGAGCGUUAUCCGGAUUUAUUGGGUUUAAAGGGAGCGUAGGUGGUUUGUUAAGUCAGUUGUGAAAGUUUGCGGCUCAACCGUAAAAUUGCAGUUGAAACUGGCAGUCUUGAGUACAGUAGAGGUGGGCAGAAUUCGUGGUGUAGCGGUGAAAUGCUUAGAUAUCACGAAGAACUCCGAUUGCGAAGGCAGUUCACUGGACUGCAACUGACACUGAGGCUCGAAAGUGUGGGUAUCAAACAGGAUUAGAUACCCCGGUAGUC